GGUUUAACCGUCCUAAAGGGUUGUUCGAGACUAGAACGUUGAUAGGCAGGGUGUGUAAGCGUUGUGAGGCGUUGAGCUAACCUGUACUAAUUGCCCGUGAGGCUUAACCAUACAACACCCAAGGGGUUUUGUA
rnacentral:rRNA from 1 species